rnacentral:rRNA from 1 species
GAUGAACGCUGGCGGCGUGCCUAAUACAUGCAAGUCGAGCGGACGGACGAGACGCUUGCUUCUCUGAUGUUAGCGGCGGACGGGUGAGUAACACGUGGAUCACCUACCUAUAAGACUGGGAUAACUUCGGGAAACCGGAGCUAAUCCCGGAUAAUAUUUUGAACCGCAUGGUCCAAAAGUGAAAGACGGUCUUGCUGUCACUUCUAGAUGGAUCCGCGCUGCAUUAGCUAGUUGGUAAGGUAACGGCUUACCAAGGCAACGAUGCGUAGCCGACCUGAGAGAGUGGUCGGCCACACUGGAACGUAGACACCGUCCAGACUCCUACGGGAGGCAGCAGUAGGGAAUCUUCCGCAGAGGUCGAAAGCCUUACGGAGCAACGCCGCGUGAGAGAUGAAGGUCCUCGGAUCGUAAAGCUCUGUUAUUAGUGAAGAACAUAUGUGUAAGGAACUGUGCACAUCUUGACGGUACCUAAUCAGAAAGCCACGGCUAACUACGUG